CUUAAACCUCUAAAAUAAAGAUAAAAUGUAAUAUAUAUAUAUAUAUGAUAAAGUAUAUCAAAAAUAUAAAUCUGACUCCUUUUGUUAUUACAACAUUAAAGUCGUACAAACAUCAUGUUUUCAUAUAUUACUCAACAGGUAAUAAAGAUAUACAGAUUCAUUGAUUGUAUCCUCACAGAGAGCAGGAAGUUCAUGAGUGGCUUCAUGACUUCAGAAAUUCAAUUACAGCCCACAUUACUGGCAGCAUUAAUACAGAACUGAUCUGACCUGAUUCAACAUGAACAAAUGCAUCCUGCUGGUUUCCAUUAUGGCAUCAGGUGUGAUGGCUGUGGACAAAAUUGAGCCAAAUAAAGGGACCAGUAUCAUCAGAACAGAGGAAAUAACCACAAUGUUGAGCUGCUCGUAUGAUUCUAAUAGUGACAAUGUACGGCUUUACUGGUACAGGCAAUAUCCCAAUGAGGAACCUCAGUAUGUGUUAUAUGAACAGGCUCAAUCCAGCAGUUAUAAGCACACAUCUGAUCCUCGAUUUCAGUCAACAACCUCUCGCACAUCCACUGAACUCAUUAUUAAUGUUGUAACUCUGUCAGAUUCAGCCCUCUAUUACUGUGCUCUAAGAGUAGGAGCCCAGUGAUACAAAACAUGAAUUAAGUCGCACAAAAACUGAAAGGCCUUUUUUGUACUGUCAAAUUAAAACCUCAACGUGUCAUGAUAAUAUGUGGUAACACCUGUGUGAGGUUGAGUCAAAAAUAUUAAGAAAGGAAUAAAUGGGCUGUCAAAGCUUGCCUUGAAUAAGGUACAAAUAAAUUGUUAACUUAGAGGUGGUAGCUCAAGAAUGACCACGUCACAUCUCUUAUAUCAGAGUCAAAGUUCAUAUAUUAAAGAAAUAUCCUUGGUUAAAUUCAUUUGUAUUUGUUCCACUCUGUUGACAACAUAUGUGGCUUACUAUAUUGAUUAGCACAGAAAGUAAUGUUGGCUCAUCCCUCAAAUUGUAAAAGCAAAUGAAAACAUGUUUAUAACGCCCUUACCCAUUUUGUGCCAUUGAAACUAUAUCUACUGCACAGAAAUGAACCUGGGGCCAACAUUACAGAAACUACCUGAGAUCCUAGCUGAAAUGGCCAAUGUUACAAAACAGAUUCUAAAGUAAGGUUGUAUUAUGACCCACUAAAUGACAAUUUAAUAUGUUUUACACAAUGUGAAUGAUGUGACAUUAUUAUUAUGUUUUUAUAUUAUUGUUAUGUCACACUUGCAGGAAAUCCA